AUUAAAAUCGUUAUCAGCCCAAAAUGCUAAGUGAUGUGUAUAAAAGGAUAACCAAUUCGAAAACCGACACAGAUCCGUUUUGCAAAAAUUACAACAAUGUUCAAAUACUUGAAAGUUGCUACUGUUGCCGCUAUUGUUCUAAGCAGCCUUAUUAUGUCUGCUUAUGCCCAAGGACAAGGGCAGCAAGGACAGCAAGGACAAGGACAAUAAUUUUAAUUGGAAUAAAGACAAUGCCGCUACGUGUAGGUUAUCCUCCCAGUUUGAAAAUCGAAAACUCAAUAGCUAUGUAAUAUUGGAAUUUGUCUUUAAUAAAUUAUCUAAAGCAUAA